AGGGCGCGCUGCGGAUACACCGGGACGCCCCCUCAGCCGCGACAGUAACGGCCUCCGGCCACCAGGGGGCAGCCAGGGCGCGCUGCGGAUACACCGGGACACGCCCCUUCAGCCGCGACAGUAACGGCCUCCGGCCACCAGGGGUCGGCCAGGGCGCGCUGCGGAUACACCGGGACGCCCCCUCAGCCGCGACAGUAACGGCCUCCGGCCACCAGGGGGCGGCCAGGGCGCGCUGCGGAUACACCGGGACGCCCCCUCAGCCGCGACAGUAACGGCCUCCGGCCACCAGAGGGCGGCCAGGGCGCGCUGCGGAUACACCGGGACGCCCCCUCAGCCGCGACAGUAACGGCCUCCGGCCACCAGGGGGCGGCACACGGCGCCUCAAACUGUAAACGGCUCCGGGCUUCGGAAUCCGGGCGGGGAGCGGAGAGCGGUUCGCAAAAGCCAGUUGGUGCCCGGAUGCCGGCAUUGUCACGGGAUCGCGGCCAAAGGGGGUAGAAGACAGCGCAACAGUCGCUCUUCUUGCAUGAAGCUAUAUGCAUCUAGUGUGACGGAUUAUCCUACCUGGAGACUGUCUUUUUCAGCUCGGCAUCACGGGGGCGGGGGCGGUGACCCCCAUCCGGGCUCCCCGGGGGCGGUGACCCCCAUCCCGGCUCCCCGGGGGCGGUGACCCCCAUCCCGGCUCCCCGGCCUUCUCUCCUCCGCCCGCUCCUGCCUCCCUUCUGCUUACUCCUCUCCUGGUCAACAGGUCAGCUCGGGGUCCUGCUUCCAACCUCCUCCUCCUAGUUGAAGCCGGUUCUCAGGAGAGAACCUGCCAUCCGCAGCUUUACACCUCGGCAGGAAUGUAAAUCACUCUUCUCCCGUCCCAGGAAGCCUUUCCAGUGUUCUGAUUCCAGAAAGCAGGUGUGUGUGGCCGGUUCAAGGAAUUUCAAGCAUCAGCAGGCAGAGGAAAGUACCAGAGUGGAAGGCAGCCCACAGGGUGUCGAAAUCAAGCCACCCAGGGAGCCCGCAGAUCCCACCCUCUCCGGUGAGAGAGUUUGGUGGGGAGCACUUCAUCCAAUGCAGGGAACAGCGUUACUGCGGCCUUCACCUCCCGGCUUCAAGUGAUUCACCUGCCGCAGCCUCCCAAGUAGUUGGGAUUACAGGCGCGUGCCACCACGCCGGGCUAGUUUUUGUAUUUUUAGUGGAGAUGGAGUUUCACUAUUUUUCUCUCCCCAUCCCGGGAAAGUUGUAUCUGUUUACCACAUGUUCUCCCACAUCUACUCGGUUUUACCUCUGUAAGGCCUGAACUCAAAAGCCAAGAAAAAACCUCUUUCUCCAGAACUUUACCUUUUCUGGCAAAAGGAAGCAGGGAGACCUACUAGGAAAAUGCCAAGAACAAAAUGAUUAAUCAUGUGAAGACGGCAUCUACCACCUCAAAUCGCCCAGCUCAUUGAACCUGCGUGAGGAUCCAGCACUGUCCCUGGUGUGUACAGCUCAGUGCACCGAGAUGACCAACCGCCUGGGUUUGCUUUACUGUCACUGCUAAAGGCAGGAAGGCAGCUGCCAAACCAGGACAAGGUGGUCACCCCACGGUGAACAUCAGUCACCCUCCCUAGCCCACACAGGCAAACAACCGGGGGAGACUAUGGCUCAGGGCUUAGAACCCAAAGGCCUGAACAAAUGAGGAAGUUUCUACAACAAAGACUUUCUUUGACAGAGUAACCAGUCAUAAUUUCUGAGCAUUCCAGGAGCGCUGUGCAGAAUCACAGGUAUUUGGCAACUAGUGGGAUAAAACAAAGGUGCCAUUGAGGAUGUUUACAACCAACCCCUCUCCGGAGAUAACCUCAAGGUCUUUCCCUUGCACAUGGCCUUUCCAUGACUCAUCCACAGCAGCUGCCUCCCUCCACCACACAAAGGACCCUGCAAGUUCUGUUUGGUAUUCUUGAGAAUAAAAACUCCGUGGGUCGUUCCCUGGAAUUGGUUCUCACCCAUUUUCUUUCCUCUGACCGUAGCCAGGAUAGGCAUCUAAUUCUAUAGCUUGUCCGUGGAAUGGAAAAACAAUUUGGAUUUUCACAACCUGAAACCUAAUUUCUGGUAGGAAGGUACCAUCUGGUGGAUAUUUGUGAAACUGCUCACGUCCUGUGUUUGAAAAUGAGCAUCUGGGGGCAGCGUGCCUCUCCGAAUGUCAAUAGGAACGUUGCUCCGAGAGGAGGAGAGAUCCACACUCAAUGUGGCUGAUCCCCUUAACUAUGUGACACUGUGUAUGUGACUAUGUCAUAAGCAGCGUCAUCCCUGUUUACAGUUUUCUCAGUUUACAAUGAAUUUAAAUAGCUA
rnacentral:lncRNA from 10 species